rnacentral:rRNA from 1 species
GACGAACGCUGGCGGCGUGCCUAACACAUGCAAGUCGAACGGAGCUCCGCCCUUCGGGACGGAACUUAGUGGCGAACGGGUGAGUAACGCGUGAAGAACCUGCCUUUCAGUGGGGGACAACAGUCGGAAACGACUGCUAAUACCGCAUAAUACUUUUGAGGGCAUCCUUAAAAGUCAAAGCUUAAUGUGCUGAAAGAUGGCUUCGCGUCUGAUUAGCUAGUUGGCGGGGUAACGGCCCACCAAGGCGACGAUCAGUAGCCGGUCUGAGAGGAUGAACGGCCACAUUGGGACUGAGAUACGGCCCAG